CAUACGUCCUACGGGAGAAAGCAGGGGACUUUCUGGCCUUGCGCUAUCAGAUGAGCCUAGGUCGGAUUAGCUAGUUGGUGAGGUAAUGGCUCACCAAGGCGACGAUCCGUAACUGGUCUGAGAGGAUGAUCAGUCACACUGGAACUGAGACACGGUCCAGACUCCUACGGGAGGCAGCAGUGGGGAAUAUUGGACAAUGGGCGAAAGCCUGAUCCAGCCAUGCCGCGUGUGUGAAGAAGGUCUUCGGAUUGUAAAGCACUUUAAGUUGGGAGGAAGGGUUGUAGAUUAAUACUCUGCAAUUUUGACGUUACCGACAGAAUAAGCACCGGCUAACUCUGUGCCAGCAGCCGCGGUAAUACAGAGGGUGCAAGCGUUAAUCGGAAUUACUGGGCGUAAAGCGCGCGUAGGUGGUUUGUUAAGUUGGAUGUGAAAGCCCCGGGCUCAACCUGGGAACUGCAUUCAAAACUGACAAGCUAGAGUAUGGUAGAGGGUGGUGGAAUUUCCUGUGUAGCGGUGAAAUGCGUAGAUAUAGGAAGGAACACCAGUGGCGAAGGCGACCACCUGGACUGAUACUGACACUGAGGUGCGAAAGCGUGGGGAGCAAACAGGAUAAAAUACCCUGGUAGUCCACGCCGUAAACGAUGUCAACUAGCCGUUGGGAGCCUUGAGCUCUUAGUGGUCCGAAUUAGUAGGCUAACAGAGGUGAGCCCAGGUUGGACA
rnacentral:rRNA from 1 species